UACGGAGGGAGCUAGCGUUGUUCGGAAUUACUGGGCGUAAAGCGCGCGUAGGCGGCUUUGUAAGUUAGAGGUGAAAGCCCGGGGCUCAACCCCGGAACUGCCUUUAAGACUGCAUCGCUUGAAUCCGGGAGAGGUGAGUGGAAUUCCGAGUGUAGAGGUGAAAUUCGUAGAUAUUCGGAAGAACACCAGUGGCGAAGGCGACUGACUGGACAAGUAUUGACGCUGAGGUGCGAAAGCGUGGGGAGCAAACAGG
rnacentral:rRNA from 1 species